rnacentral:siRNA from 1 species
GGCGAGUUGUGUUGAUUUGUG